UACGUAGGGCGCAAGCGUUGUCCGGAAUUAUUGGGCGUAAAGAGCUCGUAGGCGGUUUGUCGCGUCUGCUGUGAAAACCCGAGGCUCAACCUCGGGCCUGCAGUGGGUACGGGCAGACUAGAGUGUGGUAGGGGAGACUGGAAUUCCUGGUGUAGCGGUGGAAUGCGCAGAUAUCAGGAGGGAACACCGGUGGCGAAGGCGGGUCUCUGGGCAGUAACUG
rnacentral:rRNA from 1 species